GUCUAGGCCAACACCACCCUAAAGCGCGCUCAAUCUUGUCUGAUCUCGGAAGCUAAGCAGGGUCGGGCCUGGUUAGCACUUGGAUGGGAGAAGCCAAAAUCAGUAAAUCAAGUCU
rnacentral:rRNA from 1 species